AACGAACGCUGGCGGCAUGCCUAACACAUGCAAGUCGAACGAGACCUUCGGGUCUAGUGGCGCACGGGUGCGUAACGCGUGGGAACCUGCCCUUAGGUUCGGAAUAACUCCCCGAAAGGGGUGCUAAUACCGGAUAAUGUCUUCGGACCAAAGAUUUAUCGCCUUUGGAUGGGCCCGCGUUGGAUUAGCUAGUUGGUAGGGUAAAAGCCUACCAAGGCGACGAUCCAUAGCUGGUCUGAGAGGAUGAUCAGCCACACUGGGACUGAGACACGGCCCAGACUCCUACGGGAGGCAGCAGUGGGGAAUAUUGGACAAGGGGCGAAAGCCUGAUCCAGCAAGGCCGCGUGAGUGAUGAAGGCCUUAGGGUUGUAAAGCUCUUUUACCCGGGAUGAUAAUGACAGUACCGGGAGAAUAAGCUCCGGCUAACUCCGG
rnacentral:rRNA from 1 species